GUUAGUCAAAAAACCAAGAGUAGUCUGUUUAACGAACUGGGUAAUCGUUGCAGAUGCUACAAUCGAUGCGCGAAUAAAGGUUAAAUUAAUUAGCGAGGCUGUGCUGUGGAACUUAGUAGAGACGGUCUCUUUGCAGUCUUUCAUGAGCCAGCAGCGCGACAUCUCUCACAGCCACCAUCAGAAGAUGAUGCUGGAGUUCCGCAAACAGGAGGAAAUGCGUGAAGAUCAAACUAAACGCAUCGCCAAAGAGCGGCAGCUGCAAGCCAACAUCCAGUGCGACGAGAGAGUCGAGAAAAAGCGCUUCCUGCGCAAAAUGCAAGACGAAGAGUAUGGCAGACAAAUCGAGGAAUCACUUCUCAAGGCAGAAGAGGACAGACAGUUCAGAGAGAGGCAGCUUGAACAGGAAGAGAGGAUGGCCAAGGAGCUGGCCAGAAUUAAUAAUGAGAAACUCCGAGAUGAGAAGAUGAGGCAGUGCAUUAAAGAGAACAGCGUUGAGCUUCAAGAGCUAGAGUUAAAGCUCAAGUCUGCCUACCUGAACAGAGAGUGGGCAGCACAGGUGGCAGAGAAGGAAGCCGUGCGAUAUGAGACAAUGCGACAAGAGGCUGCUGUUGCCCGUAAGAUGAAGGACGAGCACAAGUGUGCAGACAUGGAGAAGGAGAAGCAGGAGCAGAGGAAGUAUGAAGAGGUAGUGCGUUACCAGCAAGAACUUGAGCGGCAGCUCGAGGAGAAAGAGCACAAGAGACAGGAAGCCUAUGAAGAGUUUCUUAAAGAGAAACUCAUGGUGGACGAAAUAGUGCGGAAGAUCUAUGAGGAGGAUCAGAGGGAGCUUCAGUUACGACUCGAGAAAGUGGUGGCCACCCAGAGAUAUAUUGAAGAUUUUAAAAAGCAGCAAGCGGAGUGGAGACAUUUAGAGCGAGAGAAGGUGGAGGCGGAGAACAGGCGCAUCAUUGAGUUUGCACACUACCAGCAGAGGAAGGAGGAGGACAGGAUGGCCACAGUUAAAGAGCGAGAGCAGGCGAAAGAAACCCUCCACAAAAUGCUCUCUGUGCAGAUCGAGAUGGAGAAAAGAGAGCGUGAGAAGAUGGAGCGCGUCCGUGAGGAACUUCAUUUGGAAGAGCAGGCCGAGGCUGCAAGACAACAGGAAAUUGAAGAGAUGGAGAAGAGGAUCCGGCAGCGGCUAGAGCUGCAGCAGACCUGUCAGGAGAUGAUGGCCUUCAAGCAGUUGCGCAUACAAGCUGAGAAAGAGGAAGAGGAGGCUUUUAGACAGUUGCUGAUGGCCAAGUUUGCAGAGGAUGACCGCAAUGAGCAGAUGAAUGGCCAAAAGCGUCGUAUGAAACAGUUGGAACACAAACGGGCUGUGGAGAAGCUACUGGAAGAAAGGAGACAGCAGUAUCUGGCUGAACAAGAGAGGGAGGAAGAGGAGCGAGCUAUGGAGAAGGAGAGAGAGGCUCAACGACGAAAGAUCAUUGAAGAGGAGAGACAGAGGCUCCUAAAACAGCAUGCGACGAAACUGUUGGGAUACCUACCAAAAGGUAUUUUCAGAGAAGAUGACCUAGAGCACUUUGAUGAGGAUUUCAAAAACAAUUUCAAACAACGACAGGCUGAUAUUUUCUCAGAUGAGGGUUGGGGAGAUGCGUUGCAGUAGGCUAAUUUCCUGUGUGAUACAGCUUCAGCGUUGAAAUGUCAAUACCAAGCUAACACUGGUAAUGAGUCAAUAAGGUUGAGGGGAAUGUCCUAUGGCUGAGACGGAGUGCAGAUUGAAUUGUCUCGGAAUGAAGUCUCUGCAGAAGCUGUGCGUCUACAGUGAAGCUUAUGCUAAUAGACCAGACUCCAGUGCUGCAUUGGAUUAGUCUGAACAUGAUUUGACUUGGCUCAAUCAUGCUAUACGUCACCGGUUCUGCACAAACACCCUUAUUAUAUAUUGCCAAAAGGAAAUUAACUUAAUCUCAAAAGUAAAUAUAAGGUGUACAUGCUAACCAUAUUAAGAUAUGUGCAUCUUUAGAUGAAACAUUUAGAUGAUAUAUGCGUCUUUAGAUGAAACAUGGCUCAUUCCGUGGUUCUUUUUUGACCCCCAGAUAGUUGUUACCACCAAAACAUUCAAGCAUUUCCUGUGCCUUAUCUCUAAAUGAGUUGUGGUUAUAUGAAUGGGAUAUUCUUUGAGUCAUAAAGUACAAAGCAUUUUGAUUUGCACACAUCAUGCUUUUCCACAUGUUAAUGAUACAGUAUAGGAAAUUGGUUUGCAAAGCUAAAGAUAUUCUCAUAGAUGCAAACUCCUGACUUUUCAGUGAAAAUUCACCUUUUUGAGAUCAAAAUGGGGGGGAUGUCUUUUUACAGUGCCGGAAGUACCAACUCAGUUCUGUACCCGCUUGAAGUCAACUGUGUGUUUUUGUGUGCGUGCUCUGGUUUUGAAUUGCAAAACCAAAAGCUUCUAUUUACAACGUGUCUUGCAUCAUUGAGUAUUGUAGCCAAUCACAGGCAUCUCUGUUGAAAGCCGUGGCCAAUCAGAGGUGUUUACUCUAGGUUAGUCAAAAUCCACUCUGAUCUAAUUUGUUUUCGCAAGUUUGCGUAGUUCUAGACGCUCGUAGAUCUUCCUAACAAGACAUAUAGCAUACAUGAUAUAAAUAAGAUAUUCAUUGUGUAGUUAGUUAUUGAUUAUAUCAGGAGUUUUCGCAUGAGUAAGCUCGGUCAGUUACUCUAUAAGGAAAGCACCCUUUGCUCGGUUUCUCUGCAUACUUCAGAAAAGUUUGAGGAAAAGUUUAAGAGGACCAAACCGUCCACACAAGUUACUGUUUCAGGAAUGAAAAAUGCGAGUGUGAAAAAAAGGGAAUCCGCCAAAUUGAUCCGUGAUUGACAGUGAUGAUAACUGUAGCAAUGGACGGAACAAACUAUCUGACAAACCAAUGUUAAAACGGAGCUAGCCUGUGCUUUAAGUGGUGCAGAGUAAAUUCAGAAUAACAAAACUACAGCAGCAAGUCUGUGUUGCCUAUAGCAGCUUCUACAGGUAAAGAUAACUUAAAGCUCUCCUUUUGAUGUGUCCUUUUUAGGCAAUGUUUGAAAAAAUAUAGUUUUUAAAUAUAUUUUUAAAAAGCGCCAAAAUAUUUCAUGCAUUAUUUAAUAAUUUAAAUAUUUAACCCUACUAGGCUGUUGGUGUCUGGGCUUAUUUAUAUAUUUUAAAAUGACAUGAGACUUUGGGACUUCCUGCACUUGCUAUACUUCAUAGUCAUUUUAUAACAAAUCCAAAAGCAAGACAUGAGAAAAACUAGGGAGUUGAAAUGGCAACUGAGCUAAUUUGUGAUCCUCUGCUGCCAUCUACUGGAUAUAAUGGUAAUUUCAUGUCAUUUUCAUCUUAAAGGGGUCAUAUGAUG